rnacentral:lncRNA from 14 species
GUCUGGAGCGGCCUCCCCGGACGCCUGCGGACAGCCAGGCCCGCUGUUGCUACGUCUGUGGCUCAGCGCUGUCACCGGCCUCGCAGCAGCAGAUCCACGUGCAGAAGCAGGAGACUCCCUCCCAGGCGCCCUUCUUCCCCUUCUUGUGGCUGCACAGCCCCCCGCCCGGUGCCCAGCCCAUCACCGAGGCGGGCAGCACCCUCGUGUGUCCCUGCUGCUUCUCGUCCCUCACGCACCAGUGGCAGAGCUUCGAGCUGGCCAACGUGCCUGUCCUGCAGCGGCUCUACGUGGUGCCCCUGAACAGCCACGCCCCCGGCAUGGCCUCCAAGGCCCGGAGACUCCCUAGAGAAGAGGGGCCCGCCCCCACCGCGGGGCUACUGAGGGAAGCCUGCUACCUCUGCGGGGAGGACUGUACGCGGGAUGCCCGGGCUGUGCCCUCCCGCCUUGUCAACGGCAACUCUGGGGGCUCCAUGCACUUCCCCUUCCUUAGCCUCCUGCCCUGCCCACCUAAUGCUCGGCCCCCCAAUAAGCGCUGCGAGGUUCGCAGCUGCCCCAAGUGCUUCAGCGUCCUGGAGGACGUCUGGGCCCUGUACCGAGCAUCGCACAACCGUGAGCUCAUUAGCUCGGUGCAAGGCUUCUUGGGCAGGUACCACCAAGCCUUCUCCGCCUCGGACCCUACCCUGAGCGAACUGCCCACUUCUGCGCAGGGAGGUCCGCCUGCCGUCUGCUACAUCUGCGGGGCUGAGCUGGGGCCCGGCAAGGAGUUCCAGCUCAGCAUGAACCCCGCCAGCCACCUGGGCGAGAAGGAACCCUUCUUUCCUUUCCUCACCGUCUAUCCACCCGCCCCACGGGCCAGGCCUGCAGACUCCACAGGCCUGGUGGCAACCUGUGUGCUCUGCUAUCAUGACCUGCUGGGUCAGUGGCUACAGCACGAAGCCAGAUCCGCUCACCAGGCUGUCAGCGCCUGGUCAAGGCAGUACCAAGUGGACACGUUCGUGUGCUUCUUCUGUCAGCAAGAGAAGAAACGGUGUUUGGGGCUGAAGUCCGUGAGAGUGGCCAGGCUACCCUUGUUCCUGUAUACCCUGAGAGCCAGCCACAGCCUGUUGGUGGAUGAUGGCCGGCAGCUGAUCAUUGGUGCCUGCGUGGAAUGCGGGACCCUAGUUUGUGCAGGCCAAGGGCUUACGAGCCCUGGACCCAUGGGCUGGAGCUCCCCAGCAGCAGGAGUAACAAAGGUUACCUCAGCUCCUCUGGAGGCACCUGCAAUUGUCCAUGCUCCUGCUCCAGAGCCUGAGCUGCAGCCGGUGCCCCCCACAGACAGUCUAUCCAGGGGCACCAGGACCACCCAGGAGCCGCUUCCAGCACCAAGCCACCAGAGCAACCGAGACAUCUGGGAUGGGGACGGAGUAGACCUCACAGCCACAGGUAGAGGAAUGUUUUGCGUCUCUCCACAUGGGCUGGGCCUGAGCCAGCCCAGGGGCUGCGGCUCUGGAGGCUGAGCUGGGACACGGAGUUUCAGAGCUGGGCUCCAUCUCAUGUCCCUGGUGUUAAAGGGUGUGAGUCCGAGUCCUGGGGUUUGGAGAAUUCUCUCCAUGCUCUGUGAUGGAUUUGCCUGUGCAGUGUGUAGGUAGUUUCCAGGUCCACCUGUGAAGGCUUCUCUAGUGCUGGGCCAGUAGGCAUGAGGACGUCUGUGUUGAGGUGUCACAGGUGGAUGGUCUUACGUCCCUCUGUUGCUAUUUGGUGGCUUUCAAGGGAACUUGUGGACCACUUGUGGGCUCACGAGGCCUUCACUGUAGGUUCUGAAGAUGCAUUGGGCAUUUAUGUCCUUAGUUUUUUCUCAGGGUCCCGGGGAUGCUUGCAGGGCCACUGUAGGCCAUGCAGGACUCCCUAGAGGAGGCUGUACUAGGGAAGACCUGUGAAAACCUGAUCCAUGCUGUCCCCGGGGAGGAGUGGAGAUUCAGGGGCCACUAAAGUGGUAGUGACCUGUGUUGUGGCUUGUUAGAGAACAGCAGGAGUUGGGGCUGAGGGAGGUGACAUGCAGGCCAGAGAUCAUGUGACACAGUGGGUUGAACUACCAGGGCCCAGUCUUGGAUCUGAGGUGUUCAUCUUCCAGUUCCGGUCUCCUUUCCUCUGUGAGAUGGACUCAAUCCUCAGGUGGACCCGACAGACCAAGUGCUUAGCCUUGGGGGGCCUGAGGGGCAUCAGACACUGGCAGGUGUGGAUAGGGUGGCCAUAUGGAGAAGGGGGUACAGUGCAGAUGCUGCCAGAGACUGGCACUCCUUUCCCCCAAAACUUAUACAUUCAGCCAACUCUCUCAGAACCUUACAUCUGUGAACUGCCAUAGUUGUGAGUGGUCCUGGCUUCCGCAGCCUGUGACGUCUGGUCCCAAGGAAGUGUGUGUGAACCUCAGCACGUCAUAGCCCUGCUAACUUCCCCGGGUCAAUAGGCAGAAGGCUGUGCUUGUGUGGGCAGCACCUCCCUUAGCACCCCUUUAGUUCCACAGGCAUGCCCUGUGGAAACCAGGGUGCUCUGAAUUGCUAUUGAGGCCACUAAAGUCCAGGAUGUGCCUUUGUGGGUUGGGUUUUGAAAGCACUUGGUCUCUGCAUUUCCUGCCCACCCCUCCAGGCAAAGUCCACCCUGAGGUGUGACUGUGGGGGUCCAAGAAUAUUCUUGGUGACUACAUUCCCCAAAGCAGGCCAGCCCCUCAUGGAGUUCUACAGGAGAGCCAGCCAGUGUAUGGGGAGAGGUGCACCUGAGGCUUUGGGCUAAGGAACCUUCAGCAAUCCUCUGUCUGUGAGAUGUGCCUGGUGGCUGGUAGUCCAUAGUCUUCUGUGACACCCAGGCAAGCAGAGGCUCAUGUGUGUUUGUGUGUGUUGUUUUCAGCAGAACGGCAGUGCCUGUGUACUGGAGUUUGAAUCCUGUGUCUGGCUUCUACAACCCGCUUUAACUCUGAUCCAGAAAGUCCCAGGCCAUAAGUUUUGGGGGUGACAUUUCAAUUUCCAGUAAGGAGCCCUGUUCAGAGCGUUUGGGGAUAGGUGUCAUCACUUCUGUGUCCCCGAAGGUGACUCCUGGGUGGCUACAACCGGACUUGCUCUGGAGGCUGCACUGGGUUGGGGAAGGGGGAAAGAAGGUGGGGGCAGUACUCCCUGAGAGUCAGGAAGCCAAGGUAUGGGGUCAGGGAUGAGGACAUCCCUGCUGUCUAAGCAAGACAGAGCUGGGGGCCAGGUCAGUAGACAAAGAAGACUGCUUGGCAGGCCUACCCUGCAGUGAGAGCCUGGCAGGGCACUGGGCCCCGUCUGCCAGCUGCUCCCACCAGGAUGGAUGGCCCAGGGCAGCUUCUAGUGGAAAAGGCCAGGAACAUGGCCUGUAGUCAGGUCCCACAGGGGGCAGCUGUACCGCUCAGAAACUGACGGUGACUGAUGGAUUAUCUUACACCUGCCACCUCUCAUCCAGCAGUGGGCGGCGUGGCUCACACCAGCUGUGCACUGUUUGCCUGCGGCAGGGUGGGUCACAUGGGACUCAGAGAUGGGCUACAUGCAAACAUGUGCACAGAUACACACAGAAACUAUGGAUCGGAACCUCCCCGCCACGGACAAACAUCGAUAGCACCAGUGAGUGUACACAUAAAUACAGGUGCUCAAACAUAUGGGACAGACAAGGGCAUGUGUGCACACACGUGGGUUCCUACCAACACACACGGUUACACCCACACAGGUGCAUACAUGCAAAUAGCAAGACACGAAGACCAAAGAACACAGAGAAAGAUACAGGUCUCACAGAUACACUCGCACACUUGCAUAGUACGUGGGUGGAAAUCAGUUCUAGCAGGUAUAUGCACAGGUCUCAAGACUGUAUCGUGUGUGUGUGUGUGUGUGUGUGUGUGUGUGUCUGUGCCGAGACAUUGUCUAGACCCUGGGCUCCACAGUAGCCACACACGCCAAUGUCCAUUCACACCCAUAGGUGACACGUAGCAGCCCUGUACACAUCUGAAGCACAUGGGGGUGUGGGGUGUGUACAUGGACUCCCCACAAACAUGUGGACUAUGUUAGCCGCUUGUCUCAUGGCUGUGCCAAAAUGCCUGGCAAAAGCAACUUCAUGAAGGGUUUGUUUGGGCUCACGGUUUAAGGGUGUGCAGUCUUUCAUGGAGAGGAAGGCACGGCGGCCAGAGGAGGGGUGUCUGGUCACACUGGGGCCACAGUCAGACAUAGACCUGCUCAGGAAACAUUCUUUUAUGCACAUAACCCAUGUCAUGCAUACAUGUGCGUACACACACACACACACACACACGUUCCCCAUCUUUUUGGAGUUUAGCUACAAUGAAGCCUCUUGACAGCCCAGCUGUAGUGGCUUCAGCCAGUUCUGACUUGAACAGUUCUCUCUGGAGAUGGUUGGUCAGGGCAGAAAGGGGACAUCUACUUUCUGGCAGGGCUGUAAAUACCUCAGCCAGCCAUUCCUCAACUCUGUUCCCCUGCAAGUUUUCUCUAUAUGGAGCUAAUUAGAGAAAGGCCUGGGCCAGGCCAGACUCCCAGGAAUCCUUGUGCAAAGCAAUGAGUUUCAAGCCAUUGGGUUCUACCCACCAGGAUUCCAAGGUUCAUAGGAUUUAGUGUCACUUAGGGAACAGGGCCACUUCUACAUCAGGGAUGGAAUUGUCCAUGGUGAAGCUUUCGGGUGGCUAACCAGACAAACUUUGUGUAGGCAGUGUCAACUCAGAGACACCGCAUUAGGAGAGCCACUGCUGGUUGUAGGCCCACUUCUAGGCCAUGGGAGGAAUGGACCAGCACCUGUAGGCACCUUGGGCCCACUUCUCCAACCUGUGAGGAUCAUGGUGAGUCAAACCACAGUUCCUCUAGCAAACAAGGCCCAAAGGAACCUUAGCCUGGUGUGUAGUUCCUUGCGCAGAGAAGGAUGUAGUUUGGAAUCUUGGGUGGGCAGCCUUCCUGGCAAUGUGAGGGUACUGGUGCUGUCUACAGCCUUGAGCCUCUAUUUGGAACAAGAACCAUUUCAAUGCGCAUAUGGAAGGAGGCUGGCAAGGUGGGAGAGGGCUCUCAAAGCAGUUGUCCUGUGCUGAAUGUAGGCUCCUUGGAGUGGAAGCAAUUGUACACACUCCAUCAUGACAGGAGGGAGACAGCCUUAGGAUCAUGGUGGGUUCGUGCCCUGGCCUUAAGUAACAAACUUCAGGACCUUCUGAAGCCUCAGGUGCUCUGACUGCAAUGAGGCUGUCCCACGGAGUCAUCGUCAGGGGCGUGACACAAAUGCAUCGACACAGUGAAGCUGCCAAGCAAGAUUGUGUAGGUUACACACUCUACAACAGCAGUGUGCGUCAUUCUUGUCUCAGAACGGCCUUCCUGCAUGGCCAUCGGGGUGGCCACCUGCCCUGUUAGAUGGAUGGUAGCUUUGCAUGUCCUUUCGGGGUUGUGUAGCAAUCUCCCGUGUGGCGAGUUUCUCUUAUCAGCAGAGAUAGUACAAGUCACAGUCCCCACUGGUGAGCUGAGCUGUGUGUGUGCCAAAAGCCAUGGCCAGCCACUCCAGUCCCAGCCCCUCCCUUUCUCAGCCUUAUUACCACUGGUCCGGCCGGGCAUGUGUGCCCCCUCCCCCGCAUGGGGCUUCAUGAGUCCUAACCGGAGAGAACUGGGGCUUAGCUGUGUGUACAAAUGGCUACCAGGUUUUGUGGCCUCAUUCCCACCCGCUCCAGAUGCUGGCGUCCACACACUGCAGUGGGUAGGGGAGGGCCACACAUUCUCACCAGCACACAUGUGCAGAAGCCGGACUGCUACACACUAGUUUACCCAUGGUAUCCUUACUGCCUGUGUUACUGCCUUUCCUUGUUACUGUGUUCCAACGCCUGACAAAAGCUACUUAGAAGCAGAGGAGUGUUUCCUUAGCUCAGGGUUCCAGGCUACAGCGGUGGAGAAGGCUUGGCGGGAGGGGCAGCCAGCGGGAAGAGUCACAUGGCUUCCACAGUCAGGGAGCAGAGAGGAGAAGGCUUCUGCAUCCAGUCCAGGACCCCACAUUCAGGAGGGGUCUCCCUUACUUACUUAACCCAAUCUAGAAAAAUCUCUCAGACUGGAGAGAUGUCUCAGUGAUUAAGAGCACUGACUGCUC